rnacentral:tRNA from 2 species
GCGGGUGUAGCUCAGCUGGUUAGAGCGCCAGAUUGUGAUUCUGGAAGCCGUGGGUUCAAGUCCCAUCACUCGCCCCA